UACGUAGGGGGCUAGCGUUGUCCGGAAUCAUUGGGCGUAAAGCGCGUGUAGGCGGUCCGGUAAGUCCGCUGUGAAAGUCGAGGGCUCAACCCUCGAAUGCCGGUGGAUACUGUCGGGCUUGAGUACGGGAGAGGCGAGUGGAAUUCCUGGUGUAGCGGUGAAAUGCGCAGAUAUCAGGAGGAACACCGAUUGCGAAGGCAGCUCGCUGGGACGGUACUGACGCUGAGACGCGAAAGCGUGGGGAGCAAACAGG
rnacentral:rRNA from 1 species